rnacentral:lncRNA from 1 species
AAGGGGCCUCUAGAUUGGUUUCCUAGACUUCGGGCUCAUCUUCAUUUGCUAGCAACUUAUUUCCUCCCAAGGCUGCCAGAGUGACUCCUUUAAGAAACCACCUCUGAUCACACCAUUCCUCUCUGUCAGGUCUCUCGAUGGCCCCAGAUUGCCCCUAGAUGAAUUCAGACGUCGUGGUCCAGUCAGCGAAUUUCAGCCUCUGCAAUCUCCUCUCCUCACACUGGACUUCCUGAGCUGUCAGGAAAAUGCACUUUCCCACAACUUCCAGAGGCACUGAGUAAUAAUGGAUUUCAGUGUUGCUGAGCUCCUUGAAGAUCAAGUGCAACCCCUGAAGCCACCCAGGCACUCGGGGACCCCACGCAAACGUGCAGUGGCCUCUGGAGAGGAACUCGUGGUGAAAUUCAAGAAACAGCAGCAACAGAAACAAGAACAGAAGCACCACCGGCUGGCAGAGCCUGAAGCCCCAAAUCCCAAGGUUCUUCUGCAUUUUGAGACCUUCUUCAACAACACGGACACUCUGCUUGCCUCAGAUGCAGAACGAGGAGACACUCCAAGUGAUGGGCGUGGAAACGCUGAGAGAGAAAUAAACCGACUGCUGCCAAACCUCCGAGACCCCCAGGCUGUUUGUGACUGCAGCAGAACCGCGCAUAUCCUAACGCAGACGCCGGGGCCGGUUGCCUUUGCCUGGAUUCACACCAACCGAGAACGCUUCCGGUCCAACCGAGAACGCUUCCGGGCCUCGGAGUGACCGCCCAAUGCGCAGUCAGUGCUUCUGCCCCCGUCUCUUCCCUGGGUCUGAACUUCUGCCUUGCAUGCUUGCUACUCAAAUCUGAAUACAAAUUGCCGCGCCUUCAUUUUUAAACUGUUGAAUGUUGACAAAAGAAUAGUCAGUUCUGGUUUCCUAGUUUUCCCAGUUCAUGUUUCUUCACCUGUCACAUGAUAACAGACACAGAAGCCGCCUUCGGGAGGCUUGGUGUCAAAGGUCUAUCUGAAUUUCAGUGGAUGUCAGAUUCCCAGUGGUCCAGAGCCCCCGACUUGGGGCACCCAGAGUCUUCUGGUGUGUGCCGGGACAUCCCCUCUGUGGUGUGACUGUGCCCUGGGGCCUCCCCCAGGCACGGCCUUCUCCACGGCCACUUCUCUUACCACAGCCGGCUCUCUGCAGAAGAGCUGGUUUGGAGGAAGUGUUGUGUGUUUUCCUUUCAACGCAUCUGGGC